UUGGUGUGGUCGUACUCUUGUUAAGAACUGUGGACAUUUCGAGUGGACUGAAUAAAGGAGAUACAAAGCAGGGACAAAACUUGGUUCUUUGAUAAAUCGCCGAUUUCCAUUUUUUCAGCUCUUCUGUUAUGACGGCCUGAAAACAACAUCUCUGGAAUUUUUACAUGCAGAUUUUCCUGGCAUUCUUUUUCUGGAAACUUCAUUACAGGGCACAUAAGAAAAAAAUACAUGACAGACCUAAAUCUGGAGCUUUCUUGGUUAAGCAGAAUGUUAUUUAAAUGAAUCAUGAAUGACAGAUAUCCAGUAGUUCAUGAUUAUAACGCAAAGACUUGAAAUUCAGGGAAGGACAGUUUGAACAGAUUUGGAAAGAUAUGUGGAAAUAACCUGGACGUUUUAAAAAAGCAAACACUGUCAUCCCAGUUGUACCGCUAGGGAUUCUUUUGCUUGUGGUUUCUGUGGAAUAUACCAGUGAACAGAAUACAUUUGUCUGUACGACUUACUGAAUGAAAAUGGACAGUGAUGCCCUUAAUUCAUUUUUUGGCAAAAUUGCAGAUCUUUUUCCUAACAACAUAAAACAGGAACUGCAAACAUAUAGUCCACCUAUAACCUCUUUUCACUCUUUGACUGAGAAAGGUUCUUCUUCAGGAGAUAACGGUCAAUAUUUGGACAGUUUUACGUCAUUUGUUCAGACUCCGCAUUCAAAUGCUGAGGAAAACAGGACUGAGGACAAUGUAAACAAAUCAAAGAUUCAGAUUCAUGCGAUGGAUUCUGCUCCAGAAAAAGAGAAGCUGGAGUUGGACCUAAAUGUUUCGCACCAGAGAGAUCAUUACAGUAAACCGUCAGGAACAAGCCGCUCCGACCAGGGCUUAACAGAUGGUCUAGCUGACACCCUGUCUAAAUCACUUAGCGAUAUCUCAGCCUGUGACUGCGUUCUGAACAAACAACUUGAGGAUUCAGCAAGUACAAUAGAUACUGAAAAAGUAGUUUUUAGUGAGUGCAUAGAAGGAUCUGUCAACAUGAGAGAUCAAGCAAGCAAUGGUAAGAGUAUUUGCGCAUUCAGUCAAGACGUAUCUGAAGAUAAUGGACAUGGGUCGGAUAGCAUCAGCAGUGAGUGUGGUACUGUUCAAAAUGACAAUCAAGAUCACCACAUACCCAAAAGCAACCACACAGAAGAAUUGGUCAUUUUAUGUAAAGAAAGAAAUGUUUUGAAAGAGAGCUGCGAUGAAGAAACGGUAAUGGGCAGAUCUUCUCAAGAUGAUCUCACAGAGACUCAAAAUAUGAAAAACUGCAUUUCAAUGCAAAGUGAGCAGGAAGCAUCUGAACUUAUGAACCAGAUGAAUGGAGAUGCUACUUCUGAUAUUAACCAACACACAACUCUAGAUUCACUUAAUACAAAUUCAGAUGUUCAGAGCAAAUCAAUAAAUUGUAAUGAUUAUAAUCUCACAGAUCAAACGGAUCUUUCUUCAAAAUCGCCUGUACCCAGGACCCAUCAAUGUGUUAAACCUUUUUGUGAAGAAUCGUGUAUUGGUACUGAACAGAUUCAACAGAGGGACGAUACUGCCGAAGGCCCCUUUUCUCAAGCUUCAUGCAUUGAAAGCAAUGCUGAAUUAGACAGCAACUUUGUCCAUUCUCCUACUGCAAGCAAUAAGAUCCAGACUGGACACCCUGAGGUCAGUGUUGGCCUCUGUAAUACUAAAGAACAAACUACCGAUUUAUCCAAGUUAGGUAAUUCUAUCACAGCCUCACUGGAACCAGAACCAGGACUUGUCCAGAUAGAGGAACAGGAGAAAACAGAAAUUAAGGAUGAUUCCCAAGGCAAGCAACAGAAAGAAAAUUACUUAGAUGGUCCACAGGAGGAUAUGACAAUAAAGAUAAAGACCCUGGAUGGAACAGAUACAGCUGUGCAGGGAGAAGAAGAAACGAUUGAGAAAAUAAAAGAAAGAGAAAUGAUUCAAGAAGACACAAUGUUAGAACCUGUAGAUGCAUCCCCUGUGUUGGAUUCAUCUCCUCAUGAGAAGACCACAGACCUUUCACUGCGAUUUGGGUCCGACCAUACUGUCAUGUCCCCCACCACAGUAAAAGAUUUACAAAUCCAUUUGUCCUUCCUUUUCACUGGGAGGCUUGGCACCAAGAAAGAAGCACAAGAAGAACAAGAAACUCCAGACCAACCCCAAAGCCCCAAUCAGUCUAUCAAAAAAAAAGAUUCAAAGGGGGACUUUCUCGAGCAGAUUACCCAAUUCUUUAACAGCAGCAAAGGAGAUGGAAAGAAAAAGAAGGAUAGUCUGUGCAGUCCUCCACUGUCUCCAAUCACCCAGGAGCCUGUAGAAGAAACGGUCAUUUCCCAAUCUGAGGAAACUAUCAAAUCUCCAAAUACAGAGACGCCAUUAGAUGCCUUCAAAGCAUUCUUUACAGUUAAAAAAGAGAACUCAUCACAAAUGGAUGGGGAUGCUGGAAAAAAGAAGAUCAAUAGGGAUAAAGAGGCUCUUAAAGCUUUCUUUGACAGGAACACGAUUAAGUCACCAGGCACCAAACGAUCUUCUGAGUCCAAUUCUGAGGUGAGUGGGGAACGCACGCCAAGGCGACUUCAGACUAUCUGGCCUCCACCCAAACCCAAAGACAAGGAGGAAAAGAUUGGCCUGAAAUACACAGAAGCUGAGCAUCAGGCAGCGCUUCUGCAACAGAAAAGAGAAUUUGAUGAGGAGAAAGAGAAGAUAGAGGAUGAUCACAAACAUUUGCUCUUCCGGACUCAUGAGGAACAUGAAGCGGCUCUGUCCAAACUAAGAGCAACCAUUGCCAACUUACAAAGAGAGAGCAUCAAAAAUCAUCACAGGGAUCUCAGAGAUGUUGCCGUGUCCACUGAAGACCACAUCAGACCGCGAGUCUUUCACUCUGUAUGCGUUCAGACAGACAGAGAGACGUUUAUCAAGUCUGUUGAGGUCAAAGGAGCCCAGAGUCAUAGCCUUGAUCUCCAGAAGAAUGUGUCCAAAAAUGCAGACCUUAAUUCAACAAAAAACUUUAACUUCACUGACAAACAGAAGACGGUUUCUCCUCAACCUCCCCUUCCUGCCUUGCCUAAGGUACAAUUAAGUGGGAACACGAUUCCUCCUUUACCUCCUCCACCUACUCCACCUGGCCCCUCUGCUCCCAAUUCAUCUUCACUUCUCGCUAAACCAUCGCAUGUUCCAGGAAGUGAACCUCCACCUCCUCCACCUCCUCUUUCUGCCUUGCCUCAGGCACAACUAAGUGGUAACACGAUUCCACCUCCUCCACCUCCUCCACCUCCUCCACCUGGCCCCUCUGCUCCCAAUUCAUCUUCACUUCCUGCUAAACCAUCACAUGUUCCAGGAAGUGUACCUCCACCUCCUCUUUCUGCCUUGCCUCAGGCACAACUAAGUGGUAACACGAUUCCACCUUCACCUCCUACACCUCCUCCACCUGGCCCCUCUGCUCCCAAUUCAUCUUCACUUCUUGCUAAAGCAUCAGAUGUUCCAGGAAGUGUACCUCCACCUCCUCCACCACCUCCACCCAUGACAGGAUGUGGUCCCCCACCACCACCACCACCUCCAGUUUUCCAUUCAAUCCCCCCACCUCCUUCAGGCUCUGGUGUGUUCCUUGAUGAAGUGUCAGACAAUUCUCUUCGCAAACAGUCAGUGGAUCCGGUCUGCCCUAUGAAACCGCUCUACUGGACACGAAUACAAGUUGAAGAUAGCAGAAAUGAUAUGCUGUGGAGCGCACUUGUGGAGCCAGAGAUAAUAAACACUAAUGAGUUUGCGGAGCUGUUUGCUAAAGCCACGUCGCCCACCAAAAGAAAACCUCUCUUAGAAGCCUACGAGAGGAAAAACAAAGCUAGGAAGGUUAUUAAGUUACUGGAUGGUAAGCGCUCUCAAGCAGUGGGCAUCUUAAUCUCAAGUCUUCACCUAGAGAUGAAGGACAUUCAGCAAGCUGUAUUAACUCUGGACAAUGCAGUGGUUGACCUGGAUGCCAUUGAAGCCAUGUAUGAAAACAGAGCUCAGCCUGAAGAGUUGGAGAAGAUUAAGAAACACUACGAAACCUCGGAUGAGGAGCAAGUCAAACUACUGGACAAACCUGAACAGUUCCUGUAUGAACUUUCCCAAAUUCCUGAAUUCUCCGGUCGUGUUCACUGUUUCAUUUUCCAGUCGAAGUUUACAGACGCCGUUGCCUCCAUACAGCGCAAGGCUGAGAUUAUUCUGCGCGUCUCCAAGCAUCUGUUGGAGGAGGACGGUGUGAGGGAGAUUAUGGGGCUGAUUCUUGCUCUUGGAAACUACAUGAACGGAGGUAGCAGAGUUCGAGGUCAGGCGGACGGCUUUGGGCUUGAGAUUCUUCCCAAGCUUAAAGAUGUCAAGAGCAGGGAUAAUCAGAUUAGUCUGUUGGACUACAUUGUUUCCUACUAUCUGCGCAACUUUGAUGAGAACGCUGGGACAGAAAACAUCAUCUUUCCUUUGCCUGAACCUCAAGAUGUGUUUCUGGCCUCCCAAGUGAAGUUUGAAGACCUCUCCAAGGAUUUAAGAAAGUUAAGCAGGGACUUGGCAGUUUGUGAGAAAGAAUUCCUAUCUGUGUGUACCAACUCAUCCCAAGAGCACAUGCAUCCCUUCAAGGAGAAAAUGGAUGGUUUUAUUGCUAAUGCAAAAAAUGAAGUAAUUGCAAUAGAAAACCAAGUGACAUCAGCACGUAAAAGCUUCUGUUACCUGGCUGAGUACUUUGGUCUAAAGCCACGUUCUGGUGAGAAAGAGGUUGUGCCUGGCAGUAUUUUUACACUUUGGUUUGAAUUCUGUAAUGAUUUCAAGAUCAGAUGGGACAGAGAGAACAAGACAAUAUCAAAACAGAGACUCAAAGAGGCCCAACAGUCUGUGCGCAACAUCACAGCAGAGAAGAAGAUUGAGACCAGAAGCGCCCAUGAAAACGGACUGAAAAAGAAACUGCUUCUGAAAGAAGCGAGUCUGUCCAGGAGCUAACACUCAAAAGGGUUUCCAAAAAGGGCCAGAUACAUUUAUAUCUGAAACCUCCAGCCUGCUCUGUCGCAUCAUUUGGGUCAUGGUGAGUGACAGGUGCUCCGGCUUGCACAUCAGUGCUGACUGCUUGGCUCCAAUUCCUUAUUUGUCACCUUCUCCCCCUUUAUCGCUCUGACUGGACACUGUGAGGAAACUGAGCAAUUUUACUCGAAAUAGCCUUGGGUGUUGUGAUGUGUAUGGUUUGGAGUGUAAUACAAUUGAUUGGUUUACAUUUACAAUGAUGCGUUUCGGAGAUGCUUUAAUUUCAAAGAGACAACGUAGACAUUUUUAUGAGUAUGUGUGUGUUCCCUGGGAUGGAACCCACAACCUUUGCGCUGCUUAUGCAAUGCUCUACCAAAUGAGCUAUAGUACAAAACAUUUAGUCUUUUAUGUUAAUGAUUUGGUUUUUUUCAACAUCUUAUUAAAAUGAAGUUGACCAUUUGAUAUUAGAAAUGAAAAUGCCUACUGUCUCGCCGUGUUAUCUAACGUUUUAUCGGCUUGGAGAAGAACAGAUACUGUUCUAUUUGUGAUCGUCAAAGCUAAUGGAUGACUGGAAAAGAUUGUGAUAUCAGUGUGAUAAUAUUUAGUUAUCUUCUUAAAGGGAUAGUUCACCAAAAAAAAAUGUCAUUAUUUACUCACCCUCGUGUUGUUCUGAACCUGUAUAAAUUACUUUGUUUUGCUGAAAAACAACAAAAAUAUUUGUAAUCAACCAGGAAACAGGAGCAUCAUCGAAAAACUAUAAUACAAAAUAUUAUGGAAGUCAGUGGUUCUGGAAAACAACAACAAAUUUAGAGUAAUUAAAUAAUUAAAUACAUCUUUUUUAUUUUUUGGGUGAACUAUCCCUUUAACGUUCAGAUUCCUGGGGUUUCCUUAAAAACCCUUCGGUUGGCAGUGCCAAAGCUGGAUUAUGUGUUAGCAUUUUUCAUCACCGUAAUGUUCAAGCGGGACUAUCGGAUGUGCUAUUAUUAGGUAUUUUUUCACACUAGGCUCAAAGACAUCUACAGAACACAAUCCGUUAGGAUUCCCGUGUACUGUGGCAUCUUAUUAUAGCUAUGAUGAUGCUGUCUAGAAACCUGUUAUUGACGUGAGGUCAUUGCUAAUUCUUUGGAUUGCAAUUUAGUUACUUUUAUGUACUAUGUGUCUAAUUCUGUGACAAAUGUGUAGUCAUUAAACUAAUAAUGUUACUGGAUAUGUCAUCUUUUCAGAUCUGGGUGUUCCCA